rnacentral:lncRNA from 1 species
AUGGUUUCUACCAACUAGACCUGAAAAGGGUAUAAUUAACUUAAAGGUGCCUCUCAUUUAAAAUAAUUCCUCACUCCCUAUUUGAAAACUUGGACACUGUGGCCAGAUUUUAUUUAUUUUUAUUUUCCACACCACUCCCUUCUUUCCAGCAAUCUUUCACUCUACUAAAAAUAGUCUUACCCUGAACCUAACUGAACUGGCCUCUGAUUUUUCCCUUAUACUCUACAGUCUUGUCACUACUCUAAAGCUCUGACUAUCAUGCCAGAAUGUUAUAGAGAAGGCGUUUUGUUUAUUUGAACUAAGCCAAUGACCUUUUCAAGCAUUCUCAUCAUGAGCUGCAUAUUACAUAGAGUACCUUUUGUGCAUAAUGAACAAAUAGGAUCAAAUUCCAGAGCCUUAUGGGAUAAAACUACACUUCCCCUUAGGUCGUCAACUUUUUAAGAUGUUCUGCAGAACAGACAAUGUUGACAUGCCAUUAUGGGGACACAUCAUGACAGGAUAGCGUUUAGUCACAAUGGUGAUGUGUGAACUUUAGAAGAUUUAGAUCCUGGGUUUGGACACAUUGCCAAGAAUGUGGAUUCCUUUUUAAACAUAAGCCAGCACCGCCUCAACUAUCUGUCUACCACUUCCUCGGAAUGCAGGCUCCAGUGAUGACGAUCAGUGGUGGCGAUGGGAUUAUUGAGCUUUUCUUGGAGCGGACAGGGAUGGAGAAGAAAGCAGUCAUUGUGGGGAUGUGGAGCCGCAAGAGAGAGAGGCUGCUUUAUUCAGGAGAAAUUCAGAGGUCAGUUAAAAAUUGUUAUUAUGGGGGGCCGGCCCAGUGGCCGAGUGGUUAAGUUCGCGUGCUCUGCUUCGGCGGCCCAGGGUUUUGUUGGUUCAGAUCUUGGGUGUGGACAGGGCACUGCUCAUCAAGCCAUGUUGAGGUGGCGUCCCAUGUAG